CUGGCUUACCUCCUCAGUUAUGCGUUAAAGGGUAGUAUCUCCUUGAGCGUAUUGUGGGUUUCCUGUGUUGAAUUCCAAUUUGAUGGUAUUGUUUUGGCUGAUCGAAGUCCCUUUUCGUCUUGUGUUGCCUUUGUGAUUCAAGAUGAACCGUGAAGUGGUCUCUAUGUUCCACUAUGUUGAUGCAAAUGCAUUGAUGUCGUGGCCCAUUGAGCGUUGCUUGGAAUCCUGGAUACGGAACAUUAUGUGGGCAUGGGGUCUUUCAUGGCUCUUGUUUUGUCCUCGUUUAGUGUUCUUUGAAACGACAGUUCAUGCGCGCCUAGGCUCGUACCUGCGCGAUGAUCUUUGUCAAAGAGGAAUGCUACCUGGUUGAUCCUGCCAGUAGUCAUAUGCUUGUCUCAAAGAUUAAGCCAUGCAUGUGUAAGU
rnacentral:misc_RNA from 1 species